CUACGGAAGGUCCGGGCGUUAUCCGGAUUUAUUGGGUUUAAAGGGAGCGCAGGCGGAGAUGCAAGCGUGACGUCAAAUUUCGGGGCUCAACCCCGUCUCGCGUCGCGAACUGCGUCCCUUGGUUGCGGGAAGGGGAGGCGGAACUCGUGGUGUAGCGGUGAAAUGCAUAGAUAUCACGAAGAACUCCGAUCGCGAAGGCAGCCUUCCGGCCCGUCAACGACGCUCAUGCUCGAAGGUGCGGGUAUCAAACAGGAUUAGAUACCCUGGUAGUCCGCACAGUAAACGAUGGACACCCGCGGUUUGGCCUGUAUGGCUGAGCCGCCAAGCGAAAGCGUUAAGUGUCCCACCUGGGGAGUACGCCGGCAACGGUGAAACUUAAAGGAAUUGACGGGG
rnacentral:rRNA from 1 species